rnacentral:rRNA from 1 species
AUUGAACGCUGGCGGCAUGCCUUACACAUGCAAGUCGAACGGCAGCACGGGUGCUUGCACCUGGUGGCGAGUGGCGAACGGGUGAGUAAUAUAUCGGAACGUACCUUAUCGUGGGGAUAACGCAGCGAAAGCUGCGCUAAUACCGCAUACGCCCUGAGGGGGAAAGCGGGGGGACCGUAAGGCCUCGCGCGAUUAGAGCGGCCGAUAUCUGAUUAGCUUGUUGGUGGGGUAAAAGCCCACCAAGGCGACGAUCAGUAGCUGGUCUGAGAGGACGAUCAGCCACACUGGGACUGAGACACGGCCCAGACUCCUACGGGAGGCAGCAGUGGGGAAUUUUGGACAAUGGGGGCAACCCUGAUCCAGCAAUGCCGCGUGAGUGAAGAAGGCCUUCGGGUUGUAAAGCUCUUUUGUCAGGGAAGAAGCAGCAGCUCUAACACAGUCUGCGAAUGACGGUACCUGAAGAAUAAGCACCGGCUAACUACGUG